rnacentral:sRNA from 1 species
CCCACGGCUUGCGCCGUGGGCUAAAUUCUGACGCCCCUCCGGGGCU